CCCGGAACAGGUUGGAGCCUAUCAGGGGCAGGAUGAAACAGAGUCUCGCUGGUUUCUGCCCAGGGACCAUCUGCCCAGGCUCAUCUUGAACUCCUCGUCUCAAUGACCCUCCUGCCUCUGCCUCCCAAUCUGCUGGGAUUGCAGGUGUGAGCCGCGCGCCGGCCUUGACAGGAGACUUUCAGCCACCGAGAGAGGGAAAGAGGAGGAAGGGGAGAGACGGAUCCAGCUGGUGGCACUGAGCGCUCCCCUCCUUCUACGUCCCGGUCGUCCCAGGUCCCAGCCUCCUUCAGAGCAUCUGGGGACCCUGGUGGAGGCGCACAGGGACACCCCAAUGUCCACGGUGCAGGAGGCCAGUGCUGGGGCUUCCCUGUGUCCUGCCAGCUGUCCCACAGCUCUUGGGGGGGGGAUGCCAUCUUACAAGAGUGACAGACAACGUCAUAAGGAAGUCCUGACCCCACGUGACCCAGGAUUCCUGAGUCUCCAGCACCAAUCAUUCCUCUUAAAUUUUUCUUGGGUUGAGAAACAGCCUGUGGAAAGCAUGCACACCUGCUCAGCAACCUGUGAUCCUAACACAAGGUUUUGCCGAGACCAAGGAUUGUCCAG